AACGGGCGGGAAGUGGACGGAGGCGUGGCCUCCCGGGCAGGUGGGUGGAGUCUGGCUUACUCUAUCGAGGGAGGCAGCAACCUUCGGAAAGGGGAGGAACCUUGGGGCUGGGUUACCUGACCGAAAUGAGGGCGGGGCUGACCUGGGAUGGGCGUGGCGUGGCCCCCCGUGCGUAAAGGAGACAGGGUUUGAGGAGCUAUUGUCCAAGUAACUUCAGGGCGCGGGGGUCUUUGGAAAGGAGAAUCCGGGGGUUGGGAAGUCUGACGUCUCAAUUUUCCUAAGAUGGAGGUCUGUUCGGAUUUCAUCAGAGCACCCCUCCUACCUCAGCUCUGUGUUCCCAGGAGACGGUUGCUAGGCGACGGCAAAGUCCUUGAUUGCUGCGUUGCCAGGCAACAGAGAAACGGAAAAUGGAGGGAAAAGGGAAAUGGGGGAUGGGGAAGGGUCUUUAUGGGCCAUGGCGCCCACUGGUGGAUAAGCAGGGCCUGCACGUUUUCUAUUCUAGAAGGAAUUUUGAGUCCAGCCCCUUCCGCACUGACUCCUUGGAUCCUCUGGUGAUCCAAGCCUUCCUACCAGAUAUGAAACUAGGACAUUGGGGGUCAUCUUGGGGGCGCAUGUAACAGAUGCCGAUCAACGGGGUCAAUCUCGCUUGGAGGGGUCGGAAUAGAAGUAUACUGUGGAAAGUGAAGUUCACAGAGAAACAGCGUGAACCAGGGAAGUUGGUGGCUAAGAGGGUCUCCCCUCACCCGUCUCUCCCAACGUGACGCUCUCCCUUACUGCGCAGGCGCCGUUCC
rnacentral:lncRNA from 1 species